rnacentral:tRNA from 1 species
GGAUGUGGCUCAGUGGCAUAGUGCUUGCCUGGCAUGUGUGAGGCACUGGGUUCAAUCCUCAGCACCA